GGAGAGGUGCCAGAGCGGCUGAAUGGAGCGGUCUCGAAAACCGGAGUAGGGGCAACUCUACCGAGGGUUCAAAUCCCUCCCUCCCCGCCA
rnacentral:tRNA from 1 species